GUUUCAAUAGCUCAGUGGUUACAGCGCUGGCACGGUACGCCAAAGGCCCUUGGGUCGAGUCCCGGUUGAGACU
rnacentral:tRNA from 1 species